CCCUCUGUUUGCACUACCUACGUGUUCUUGUGACUGCUAUUAUCAUCAUUCAUUCAUUCAUUAGAAAACGGAAUCCAUCAAUGAACAAACACACUGUCUCAUAAAUUAUAGCACCACCCACCUUCCCCAUCCAACUGUUACUGACAAUUCCUUAAAUAAUUAAUUACCUAUCUACCAAUUUUAAGACUAUAUAUGUUGUGAACUUGUACUAAAUAAUAUACGUUAAGCUUUUUUAUAAUCAUAAUUUGUUAAUUUGGCC
rnacentral:lncRNA from 1 species